rnacentral:ncRNA from 1 species
UAUCCAUAGGGGAGCCUCACCAAAGAGGCUGAGAUGUCGAUGGGCGCUUGUGCGCCGGUGCGAUGACCCUUUGAACCUGACCCGGAUCACGCCGGCGUAGGAAAUGGGAUUU